AAGAUUUUGAAACUUCAACACUCUCUUACUCUGUUUCUUAUGUCUCCGUCUUUGACCAGAGAAUCAUACGAGCCUCAUAAUUUUCCUAACUUCAUGGAUCUCUUCUCCAUGAUCACUUCAUAGUUUUCUUCUUCACAAUUCACUGAAGCCGAUUCUACACCAUGGUCUCUGCUACUCCAAAGUCAUUCACCAGUCUUGCUUCUUCUUCUUCACAUUCCUAUCUCUUCCCAAAACUGUCGAAUCGUAAUCCCUUCACUCCUAAACACGUCGUCAAAUAUAAACUCUGGGUCGACAACAAUGGAGGAAAUCGCUUGCUUCACAGAUCCCGUUCUGAGAUCAAUUCCGUUCCUCGAAUCCCUAGCUUUUCUUGUGCCGUCGCCUUACCGUCAGACGUCGUCGCCGCCGCCGAUAAGCUCAAUCAACUCGUUUCGGAAUUUAGGUCUCUCUCGGAGCCAAUCGAUCGAGUGAAAAGGCUGUUGCAUUUCGCGGCGCUUCUGCCUCCGCUGGACGAAUCGGCCCGCGUGCCGGAGAACAGAGUGAAGGGAUGCACAACUCAGGUGUGGUUGAUUGCGGAGAUGGACGAGUGUGGGAGAAUGAGAUUCAGAGCCGAUAGCGAUUCUGAGAUAUCGAAGGGUUUCUGCUGGUGCUUGAUCUGGAUUUUGGACGGCGCCGAGCCGGAGGAGGUGUUGACGGUGGCGGCGGAGGAUUUGGCGGAGAUGAACGUGGGCUUGCAUGUGAAGGCCCAGUCCAGAGUGAACACUUGGCACAAUAUCUUGUUCAGCAUGCAGAAGGCCACCAGGGAAAAAUUUGAUCAAUUUGUUUCUCCUUCGUCUUGCAAUCAUUGAUUAGCUUCAUGACUAACUGGACAAUGCCAUACGCCAUGGUAGACACAUUAGAUUUUAAAUCUAAGAGACACGAAUGGAAUCAAAAACUAGAGGGAGAGUUGAGAAGAAACUGAGAGAGAAGCAUGGAGCCUUACUAGGGUUUGACUCUACCUAUGCUUGGAGGUGUUUUUGGGUUACCAAAUCCUUAGGAGAAGAGCUACGAGUAACACGUGGAAGAGUCCCAGAGGCUUAGUGGCAUAGAUCCACUGUCUCUUUUGGGUAUUUGAUUUAUGAUUUAUAAUGUGUUAUAUUGUCAAUAUUAGGACUUUUUGUUUAUUGAUAAUUAUAUGAAUAUAUAAAUGUAAUCAUACUUUUCAAACUAUUUCUAUUUU